GCCAUCACUGGUGUAGUGGUUUAAGCAUUAGACUAUGACUCUGGAGACCAGGGUUCAAAUCUCUGCUCAGCCA
rnacentral:tRNA from 1 species